UAAUACAUGCAAGUCGAGCGAACAGAAAAGGAGCUUGCUCCUUUGACGUUAGCGGCGGACGGGUGAGUAACACGUGGGCAACCUACCCUAUAGUUUGGGAUAACUCCGGGAAACCGGGGCUAAUACCGAAUAAUCUCUUUUGCUUCAUGGUGAAAGACUGAAAGACGGNUUCCGCUGUCGCUAUAGGAUGGGCCCGCGGCGCAUUAGCUAGUUGGUGAGGUAACGGNUCACCAANGCGACGAUGCGUAGCCGACCUGAGAGGGUGAUCGGCCACACUGGGACUGAGACACG
rnacentral:rRNA from 1 species